UGUCCCUAAAAUCAUCCUGUUAUCACAUCAAUGCCCCUCCAGUUAGAUUUUUGGCUAACUGUGUAUAACUUUAUUACCCCGAAAAAAUAUAUGCGAAAAAAUAGCUCUUCAUAGUACAAAUUGAAUAUUGAAUUUUACAGAUGUAUGGUGCAAAACUGCAAUAGUGUCAUUUCACUCUUCAAAUGGUUAUCAACACCAUCAGUCAGAAAUCUAAUAGAAGGGGCAACAUUGCAAAACUAGGAUGACUUGAGGGCUAUACAUGUAAGUAAUGAUUUUGGAGGAUAAAUAUAUAAUUAGAAUGCAAAAUGCCAAACAAGAAAAGAAG
rnacentral:lncRNA from 1 species